UUUGGCCAUUGGAAUUGGGAUCCAGAAUUUCCCUGAGGGCCUCGCUGUCAGCCUCCCUCUGCGUGGAGCUGGCUUCUCUACCUGGAGAGCCUUCUGGUAUGGACAGCUGAGCGGCAUGGUGGAGCCCUUGGCUGGGGUCUUUGGAGCCUUUGCCGUGGUGCUGGCCGAGCCUGUCCUGCCUUAUGCGCUGGCCUUUGCUGCUGGUGCCAUGGUCUAUGUGGUCAUGGACGACAUCAUUCCUGAAGCCCAGACGAGUGGCAACGGGAAGCUGGCCUCCUGGGCCUCCAUCCUGGGAUUCGUGGUAAUGAUGUCCCUGGAUGUGGGCCUCGGCUAGCUCCGACAACCGUGGGACCUGAGGAAGGAAAGUGCCGGACUUCUGCAGGACCGCGAGCCUCUCUCUUCACCUUAACAUCCCAUCCCUUUCUCUCCUCUCUGCCUCCUACCUGGGUCAGCUCUGAUUACGCUUUGAUUUUUCAUUUUGCUUUGGAGGGAGAAGCUGGUUUUCUUUGUAAUCUCAAGGCAUCAUAGGACUGGAGAUUUGUGUUUGGGCCACUGAGUGGAAGGAAUCUGUCUUCAGUAGGCUUGUCAAGGCCAACCCCUACUGUUUCACCUCCAGCCCCCCUCACUAGAUGACUUCAGCUCCUCAGGGUCACCUCCAGAAGUCAGCUCUUGGGACAGGAGUCUUGAAGUGUGUUGGCCUAAGGUCUAAGAGCAGGUGGCAAGAGCCCCUUGUGUUCUCUCAACUGUGGACCUUCUGUCCACCUAGAAUGCCACCUAGAAAACCAGGACAGAUGCAUCACGAGCACAAAAGGCUGUUCUCCAAGGCUGAGCCAGCUCAAGCAGGGUCUGCUUCUUCCGGGGAGGCAGCACAGGACAGCCCCCCACACAAAGGGCACGGAGUCAGCUAGUCUUCUCUUUUGUCCUAAGGCAAAUAUUGGCAUUACUGAGGCUAGAGAAAUUUGGAAAUUAGGGUGACCUUGAGCACAAACACAAUGUGCUCUGUGAAAAGCGAUGGGAGUAUGGCUUUGAACUGAGCCUCUGGCAGGUCAGAAGAACCAAGCGAUUAGUCACGGUUCCUAGAUCUCCCAGCUCUUAAUCCUGAUGUGUUUACAGCCCUUGCCCCCCCCCCCAGACUUGUGGAUCCUAGCAAACUGCAAGUACUCAGCCCCUCCUUUACUAAUGGAGUUACUUAAGUUAGCUCCAGGGGAUGAGUGACCUUUAGAGCCAGCUAAGGCUCUUUCUCCACUGGCCAUUUGGAAACAUAACCCACACAGACCUCUGGCCAGAGGGCUUCGGAUGAGAAAGCAGAGGGGGGGUAGGCAGGUGUAUUUUUACAUUUCCUUUCUUAGAAAACUUCCCAGUCUGAGGUGACCCUGAGGAACAACUGGACCUAGACUAACCUGUGCCAACAUACACAUAGCUCCGCCAGUAGCUCUCACAACAAGCCUGAGACCUGAGCCCUCCUUGAUCGGUAGUGUGUGAGGGACUCAGAAUGGACUCCACUUUGGGAGCCAGGCAUUCAGGUACUGGGUUAUCAGGGUCUACUCUGUGUUUACCUGUUCCGUCCCUGCAAGGGUGAAUACCGUAGCCGCGAACGCUCAAGAUCUCAGAGGCCAACCUCAGCUGGGAGUACGUACAUUCUUCGGAAGCACUGGUGAUCAAAAUUGAAGGCGCAUUCAGAGAUUUGGUUGGCUGAGGCUGGUUUGGUGAUUGGCACAUGUGUCUAUUUUGGUCUUGUGUCUUGGUGUGUAGUUCUGUUACUGCAAAUCGUUCUUUCUGCUGGAUGAGACCUUGUAACUGUGAUUAAUAUCAAUAAAGGGAAUUUUGU